rnacentral:rRNA from 1 species
GAUGAACGUUGGCGGCGUGCCUAAUACAUGCAAGUCGAGCGAAUGGAUUAAGAGCUUGCUCUUAUGAAGUUAGCGGCGGACGGGUGAGUAACACGUGGGUAACCUGCCCAUAAGACUGGGAUAACUCCGGGAAACCGGGGCUAAUACCGGAUAACAUUUUGAACCGCAUGGUUCGAAAUUGAAAGGCGGCUUCGGCUGUCACUUAUGGAUGGACCCGCGUCGCAUUAGCUAGUUGGUGAGGUACCGGCUCACCAAGGCAACGAUGCGUAGCCGACCUGAGAGGGUGAUCGGCCACACUGGGACUGAGACACGGCCCAGACUCCUACGGGAGGCAGCAGUAGGGAAUCUUCCGCAAUGGACGAAAGUCUGACGGAGCAACGCCGCGUGAGUGAUGAAGGCUUUCGGGUCGUAAAACUCUGUUGUUAGGGAAGAACAAGUGCUAGUUGAAUAAGCUGGCACCUUGACGGUACCUAACCAGAAAGCCACGGCUAACUACGUGCCAGCAGCCGCCGUAA